CGGAUAUGAUUAGAGCGGCGGACGGGUGAGUAACGCGUAGGAAUCUACCUAGUAGAAGGGGAUAGCCCGAGGAAACUCGGAUUAAUACCGUAUACCUCCUUCGGGAGAAAGAAGGCCUCUCUUUGAAGCUUUCGCUACUGGAUGAGCCUGCGUAAGAUUAGCUUGUUGGUGAGGUAAAGGCCCACCAAGGCGACGAUCUUUAGCGGGUCUGAGAGGACGACCAGCCACACUGGAACUGAGACACGGCCCAGACUCC
rnacentral:rRNA from 1 species